AAAGUUGUUUACUUAACUUUUUUUUCUUCCUGUAUUUUUCCUUUUCUUUUUUUAGCAAAACGUUUUAAACGUUCGUCACGUGUAGAAUCGCAUUAAUGUAACACGUAAACCUAUCCAUGUAAGUACAUGUAAGUACGUGUAUAUGUAUACAUAUUGAAGAAGAAGAAGAAGAAGAAGAGAAGCUAGUGUAAGAGUGCUUUUAUCAGUGAGCUGUGAUUGGUACUGCCCUAUGACCUCUUCCGAGGAAUGGCUCCGCCUCUCGUUUACGCAUCGACAUACACGCAUUAAAAGAGAAACGAAUUUCCUUGCUCGUAGUAAGUAAGUACGUACGUCUGGAUAAAUAUGUCCUCUGUGUUAUUUGUCGCCUUUGAAAAUCAACAUGGCGGUAUAUUUUUCUCAUGGCCGUAGAUACCAAUUGUUACAAUUGUUAUUAUGAUGAAGAUUUUCUUUUUUUUUUUUUUUUUUUUUUUUUUUUUUUUUUUUUUUUUUUCUACAAUUGUUACGACAGUUUAGAAAUCAUAGCUUCAAAGUCAUUUUCAUCAUGAGAAAGAAUAUUGAUAGGAUUUAUAUUACAUGUACGAUUAGAUUUGAUAUUUUAUACGUUUAUAUACGUAAUAAGCAACAACAACAACAACAACAACAACAACAACAAUAACAACAACAAGGAAAAAAAAAAAAAGAAGAGGAAAGAGAUAUUUUAUUAAUCAUAUCGGAGAACGAAAAUUUUCCAUGAAUCGUUAUCUUAGAAUGAUUAGACUUGAUAGUUAAAAAGGCGCUUGUUUACUUGAUGUUAUGUGAUGCAAUACUGGGUCAUACGAUGCCGUCGCGUCGCUUCGAGAAUGUGCUGCGCAUGCAUUCGACUGACCGACCGAUAAACGACGUUCCUAAAAAAUAUGUCUAAAGGAAAAUCAUUAUUUAUUUGGGAAAUCAUUUUAAAAGAAUACAAAUUAAUUUAUAUUACUGAUCUAAGGCAUGAUUUCACGUCAUUCUAUUCUUUAUAAAAACAAAACAAAACAAAACAAAGUGAAACAAUAAAAAGGAAGGAAAAAUUGAUUUCAAUCAGUUUCAAUGUAGGUAUCAUUACUCUCUACUGUACUAAAAUAUAAAAAUGAUUCUUAUAGACAGAUAUCAAAUUUAUAAUUAAUG